AAGUCUUGACAUCCCUCUGGCCGGUGAGUAAUGUCACCUUUCCUUCGGGACAGGGGAGACAGGUGGUGCAUGGUUGUCGUCAGCUCGUGUCGUGAGAUGUUGGGUUAAGUCCCGCAACGAGCGCAACCCUUAUCCUUAGUAGCCAGCGAGUAAGGUCGGGCACUCUAGGGAGACUGCCAGGGACAACCUGGAGGAAGGUGGGGAUGACGUCAAAUCAUCAUGCCCCUUAUGACUUGGGCUACACACGUGCUACAAUGGCGUAAACAAAGGGAAGCGAGCCUGUGAGGGGGAGCGAAUCCCAAAAAUAACGUCCCAGUUCGGACUGUAGUCUGCAACCCGACUACACGAAGCUGGAAUCGCUAGUAAUCGCGAAUCAGCAUGUCGCGGUGAAUACGUUCCCGGGUC
rnacentral:rRNA from 1 species